GUCGUUGUAGUAUAGUGGUGAGUAUUCCUGCCUGUCACGCAGGUGACCCGGGUUCGAUCCCUGGCAACGGCG
rnacentral:tRNA from 1 species